AGGAGUUUAUCGUGUACGCAAGUCAUUGGGUGAAUAAAACCCAAAGGCGAAAUGAAAGUAAAGAGUUGAGUUUAUAAAAUAAAGAAUUUAUUUUUUAUUUUAUUCUUGCUCUCUUAAGGGAAGAUGAAAAUUUAAUAUAUAAUUUUAUUAUUUAUUAAAAUUUUUCGCAUUCCCAGGGCGCUUGUUUCACGCUUUGCGUGUCGAUGCGCACCUAGAGCGUACACGCUGAUACCCGAAAGAUGGUGAACUAUGCCUGGCCAGGACGAAGCCAGGGGAAACCCUGGUGGAGGUCCGCAGCGAUUCUGACGUGCAAAUCGAUCGUCGGAGCUGGGUAUAGGGGCGAAAGACCAAUCGAACCAUCUAGUAGCUGGUUCCCUCUGAAGUUUCCCUCAGGAUAGCUUGCGCUCGGUUGAGUCUCAUCCGGUAGAGCGAAUGAUUAGAGGCAUUGGGGUCGAAACGACCUCAACCAUUCUCAAACUCCAAAUAGAUGAGACCCCCGGCUUUCUUAAAAUUGAAGCCGUGGGAUUUGGAUCAGAGUGCCAAGUGGGCCAAUUUUG
rnacentral:rRNA from 1 species